AGUGCUAAAUAUGCAACAGUCAAUGAAGACAACUCUUUGAUACCAGCAGCAGUAGGUACAGCUAAUAGAUUGCAUCCAAAUAAUACUUGCAAUCACCUACACAAAAUUUGUUAUACCAACCAAUACUGCAGUCAUACUGCUAAUAAGCAAUUCCUCUUUAGGUUCAAGAUGAAUACUGAGGUAAGACUACAAAAAGCGUGUUUACUGCUAAAAUCAUAUGAAUUUCUGUGAGCAGAAGUGUUAAUACUGUAGAGUUCAGAAAAGACAUUGCAUUUGCAUAAUUUUUAGCCUUAAUCAUAGUCAUAUUGCUUCCUUCUCUGUGUAGUUAUAUAUUUUGAUAAUGGCAUUUAAGUAUACUCACAUAAAAAAAACUAGAGAUACAAUCUAUUCAAGACUCUUUCCUCCCACCUCAAACUACAUUGUGCUUACAGGAUCCUGCUCACAGGCCUCUUUCCACUUCUAUCCCAGAAAACAGUGAUAGCUCCAUCCAAUUCCAGUGUGCGCACACUAUUGGUUGCACAUACCUCUGUCAUGCCCUUCUCCCCUACCCCAUGCACACAGACCCCUUAGAAUUGUUGGCUUGAACUUACUAAUGAAAACACAAGCCAACUUGAUGUCAUUAUUUUCUUGUCUAUUUAACUAGACAAAGAGUAUGCAAAAUUUCAAAUCAACAAGUAACUGAAAACUUCAGGUCGCUACUAGCAUUCCCUGUUUUCCUCAAAGAGUAGCUAAAAUCUGCACAAGAGGAAAUUUUUUCACCAUGAGAACAAUCAGCCAUCAGAAUAACCUCCGCAGGCAAGUAGUGGAUUCCCCAACACUGGACACUUAAAACUGAGCUGGACAGGGUGCUAGGCCACCUUGUCUAGACUGUGCUUUUGCCAAGAAAGGGUUGAUCAGAUGAUCCUUGAAGUACCUACCCACUUGGUAUUCUAUGAUUUCAUACAUCUGGCUUUUUUUGUUCUUAUAUGUCCCUGAUUGCAGAGGUUCAUACAAACCUCUACAUACAAGAGGUUCAUAACAAUCAUAGAAAAUGCAUCUAAUAGAAUCACAGUAGCAACUUAGCUCUCAGUCAUCAAAGUAUUCUUGUCAUGAUGAACCUGUAGCACAUUCCUUGUAUUCCACUGAUCUUCCAAAAAAUGCUCAUUAAACUCUCUCUUAAAAUACUAAUAUUGGAAAAGAAAGAUUGUAAUUUCUUAUAAAUAACUACAAAAUAUGCAAUUAGUCCUUAAAGAAAAUUCACACAAUAAAUGUUCUCUGAAAAGCAUUAAGUGUGUACAUUCCUUCUGUUUCAAGGAACAAUAUAAAAACCUUGUAGUGUUUACUCAAAUAAAGUCACACAUUAUGGGCUUACUUCUCUCUUCCCCACCCCCCAACAAUCGAUAUUUUAUCAGCUCUGCAGUGUUUGAUCUCUCUCCAAGUCACACAGGAGAUCAGAAGACUUAACCUGUGUUAUCCUUCUAAAAUCACAUAUAAAAUACUGCACAGAACAUAUACCUAUGAAUCUCAUUUAAACUGUGUUUAAUAAAGCACAAAUAUUUAUUGUAAAGCAUAAUAGACUAGUAGGAAAAUAAAGAACUUCAGAUCUCUCUGUUAUUUCUGUUCACUUCUAGAGAUAACAAAGAUAUCAAAUUCUGGAAGUCUACCAAACAGUUACAUUUUAUUAUGAACACGUAUGAUUUAAGUACUGCCAAUAAAUUCUAUGUCUUCAGUUAUGGUUGACAUUUAUGAUGUUACUUAAAGUAUAAUAAAUGCCUUAACUUGAAAUAUGCGCAUGCCUUUAGGAAGUGAGCUGAAUAGCAACGGAAGCAUUUAGUAACUUGCAUAGGAACAAGUAUCUUCUAUCACCUAGGAACGCUAAUGAAACUGUAUUUUCUGAGGGUUUUGUACUGCAGACAAAAGUGACAAAAAAAAAAAAAAAAAAAAAAAAGAAGAAAAAAAGAGAGAGAACACUCGCUAUCCAGAACAGAGAAAAUAAAUUAUUAUAUAGUAUUGCCUACAUAUCUUAACUACUAGUACAAUAUUUUAAUGUUUCUUUCAUAGUAUGCAUUUGAUAAUUUCAAACUUAUUGAAUGAGUUGUUUCUGAAGCCUAUUGCAGCAUACUUGCAUUUCAACCUCGUAUGCAAAAACAAUUACCGCUGUAUUACUUUACUGUGCAAAUGCAGGGAGAGAAACGCUCGAAAACUACUCCACCGUUUCAGAUUCACCUCGUAUUUCCUCAAACCUAUUUCACAGUCAAUCACAUCAACUGCAUUACGGAACAUGUCAAAGCAAAAUUAGAAAAUUUCAUUUAGUAGCCAUCAAUUUCAGCCUCAACAGUAAGGGGUUCUGCAGCAACAAUCACUUCCCAAAAACUGUUCGUUCGCAAGUUUAAUGAACACACUGCCCUUAUUCUCCUUCCUGUAACGGGCUGAUAAUCCACUUGCAGCAGCCUCGGGCCAGUUCCACCGGCAACACAACUCGACGUUCCUGCAGUUCACGUGCAAGUUCCCGAAUAAAAACAAACCUACCCCCCUCCCCCUCACUACCCCCCCUCUCGGGGUUUACGCUACAAGAAACAAGACUCAUUGAAAAGUUUUCCGGGAGGUAGAAACCAACAGAGUUCCAUUCAAGAAAACUGAGCGUUUCGGGCAUCCCUCCAGACUCUACUGAACAGCUCUCUCUUCAGUAAAAAAGAAGUUUCUUAAAUCACAUCAACUCAAACCUAAUGCUAAUUUAUGUGAAGCGAGGAAGAGAGGGUGAGAGGGAGAGAGAGAGACAAGGUAAUCUGCAAGGAACAACAGCUGCUACUCAGACAACGCCAACAUUUGAUAAAUAAUGUCUCUCAAAACCUGGUAUUUCUUUAGCACUUAGCAAUCAUUUUGCCGACAGAAAGCGGGAAGAACCAGUUGCGAGCAGCUAGAAAGCUGUGGUUUCUUUCUCUCGUAAAGUCUGCGAAAAGCGGAGGAGGUGGGCUUUGGAAAAGAAGCAAUCAAAAUAACAAGGAGCUUGUCAGUUAGCCAGACAUCCAGCACAAACAGAUACAGCGGUUAGGAAAAGCGAGUGGCGCUCACUCCUCAGAAAGUUUUUCCCUCCAGUUUCAGAGACACCUACCUGCUCUCUGGAAAUGCAAGGCAACGAGGGUCUCCUAAACAUUUUGCAGCUGCCAUAGUAGCUGGCCGAAGUUUCCCCUAAGGAUACGCAGCUAGAUCUCCUCCUGGGUCUAAUCACAGGCACUUUUUCCUCCACGCUGGGGAGCCGUGAGUGGUGAUGAUGCUGGUGGUGCGCUCGCCUCUGAGCCGAGAAGAUGCCGUGCUCCCCGCCACAGAGUGCCAAGAGGCAGCCUGCCACCCCGACCGAGCCGGCCAGCAGCGGUCUGAGGGCGGGGGGCACCGAGUGAAGGCUGGUGAGCGACACUAGCCACACCAAGCUGGAGAAGACCAAGACGAGAAGGCUCCGGCG